rnacentral:rRNA from 1 species
ACAGCUCAAUUUGAAAUCUGGCCCCUCGGGGUCCGAGUUGUAAUUUGUAGAGGAUGCUUUUGGUGAGGUGCCGCCCGAGUUCCCUGGAACGGGACGCCACAGAGGGUGAGAGCCCCGUCUGGCUGGCCACCGAGCCUCUGUAAAGCUCCUUCGACGAGUCGAGUAGUUUGGGAAUGCUGCUCAAAAUGGGAGGUAUAUGUCUUCUAAAGCUAAAUAUUGGCCAGAGACCGAUAGCGCACAAGUAGAGUGAUCGAAAGAUGAAAAGCACCUUGAAAAGAGGGUUAAAUAGUACGUGAAAUUGUUGAAAGGGAAGCGCUUGUGACCAGACUUGGGCGCGGCGGAUCAUCCGGGGUUCUCUCCGGUGCACUUCGCCGCGUCUAGGCCAGCAUCAGUUCGUCGCGGGGGAAAAAGGUUUCGGGAACGUGGCUCCUCCGGGAGUGUUAUAGCCCGUUGCAUAAUACCCUGCGGUGGACUGAGGACCGCGCAUCUGCAAGGAUGCUGGCGUAAUGGUCACCAGCGACCCGUCUU